UACGAAGGGGGCUAGCGUUGCUCGGAAUCACUGGGCGUAAAGGGUGCGUAGGCGGGUCUUUAAGUCAGGGGUGAAAUCCUGGAGCUCAACUCCAGAACUGCCUUUGAUACUGAAGAUCUUGAGUUCGGGAGAGGUGAGUGGAACUGCGAGUGUAGAGGUGAAAUUCGUAGAUAUUCGGAAGAACACCAGUGGCGAAGGCGACACACUGGCCCGUUACUGACGCUGAGGCGCGAAAGCGUGGGGAGCAAACAGG
rnacentral:rRNA from 1 species